rnacentral:rRNA from 1 species
UACAGAGGUCUCAAGCGUUGUUCGGAUUCAUUGGGCGUAAAGGGUGCGUAGGCGGCGCGGUAAGUCGGGUGUGAAAUCUCGGGGCUUAACUCCGAAACUGCAUUCGAUACUGCCGUGCUUGAGGACUGGAGAGGAGACUGGAAUUUACGGUGUAGCGGUGAAAUGCGUAGAUAUCGUAAGGAAGACCAGUGGCGAAGGCGGGUCUCUGGACAGUUCCUGACGCUGAGGCACGAAGGCCAGGGGGGCAAACGGG